rnacentral:ncRNA from 1 species
GAGUUCGGGAGAGACUGCGACCCUUAUGCGGCCGCAGCGCCGAAGGGGAAAGCAAAAGCUCUCAGGCAAAAGGGCCGAAC